rnacentral:piRNA from 1 species
UGNGAGCCUAAAGACUGGUGCGGCAGACAAC